rnacentral:rRNA from 1 species
AUACGGAGGAUCCAAGCGUUAUCCGGAUUUAUUGGGUUUAAAGGGUGCGUAGGCGGACUGGUAAGUCAGCUGUGAAAGUUUGCGGCUUAACCGGAAAAUUGCAGUUGAUACUGUCAGUCUUGAGUGUGCAUGAGGUGGGCGGAAUUUGUGGUGUAGCGGUGAAAUGCUUAGAUAUCACGAGGAACUCCAAUUGCGAAGGCAGCUCACUGGGGCAUAACUGACGCUGAUGCACGAAGGUGUGGGUAUCAAACAGGAUUAGAUACCCUGGUAGUCCACACAGUAAACUAUGAAUACUCGCUGUUUGCGAUAUACAGUAAGCGGCCAAGCGAAAGCAUUAAGUAUUCCACCUGGGGAGUACGCCGGCAACGGUGAAACUCAAAUGAAUUGACGGGG